AGUGGCAGACGGGUGAGUAAUGUAUAGGAAUCUACCUAGUAGUACGGAAUAAUUGUUGGAAACGGCAACUAAUACCGUAUACGCCCUACGGGGGAAAAAUUUAUUGCUAUUAGAUGAGCCUAUAUUAGAUUAGUUAGUUGGUGAGGUAAAGGCUUACCAAGACAAUGAUCUAUAGCUGAUCUGAGAGGAUGAUCAGCCACACUGGAACUGAGAUACGGUCCAGACUCCUACGGGAGGCAGCAGUGGGGAAUAUUGGACAAUGGGCGAAAGCCUGAUCCAGCCAUGCCGCAUGAGUGAAGAAGGCCUUCGGGUUGUAAAGCUCUUUUAGUGAGGAAGAUAAUGACGGUACUCACAGAAGAAGUCCUGGCUAACUCCGUGCCAGCAGCCGCGGUAAUACGGAGAGGGCUAGCGUUAUUCGGAAUCAUUGGGCGUAAAGGGCGCGUAGGCGGGUUAGUAAGUUAAAAGUGAAAUCCCAAGGCUCAACCUUGGAACUGCUUUUAAAACUGCUAGUCUAGAGAUUGAAAGAGGAUAGAGGAAUUCCUAGUGUAGAGAUGAAAUUCGUAAAUAUUAGGAGGAACACCAGUGGCGAAGGCGUCUAUCUGGUUCAAAUCUGACGCUGAGGCGCGAAGGCGUGGGGAGCAAACAGGAUUAGAUACCCUGGUAGUCCACGCUGUAAACGAUGAAUGUUAAAUAUGGGAAGUUUACUUUCUGUAUUAUAGCUAACGCGUUAAACAUUCCGCCUGGGGACUACNGNCGCAAGANUAAAACUCAAANGAAUUGACNGGGACCCGCACAAGC
rnacentral:rRNA from 2 species